GUCAAUAUGCAGGUGUUAACGCUAUCUCAUGACUAAUUCAGCCCUUGUGGAGUAUCGUGGACCAUGUGGAACAGUUAAUGGCAGAAGUCAACCAGAUGGGAGCUUUGCCAGUCCAGCAUCCAGCUGGCAUUAUGAGCCAAAACUGGGGCACGUCUCUCCCUGCCAGUAUCAUCUCCUGAAUGAUGUGUGUGACUCUACUCUUUUCAAGAACUACAGUCGAAAGGCCUACUGGAUGUGAGAAACACUGACCUCACUCUGCUUAUAACACUGAGAGCAUCAGACCUGCAGUGGACAAAGACUGAUGGUAAAGCUACUUGCAAGGGGAUCACAUCUGGCCCCAGCCGUUUGAACUAGAAGUGCUUCCCAAGUCUUUUAGAGCUAAAUGAAC